rnacentral:rRNA from 1 species
GCAGGCGCAGCUACCAUGCAGUCGAGCGGCAGCGACAUGAUAGAAGCUUCGGUGGACAUUAUGGGCGGCGAGCGGCGGACGGGUGAGUAAUGCCUGGGAAUAUGCCCUGAUGUGGGGGAUAACCAUUGGAAACGAUGGCUAAUACCGCAUAAUCUCUUCGGAGCAAAGAGGGGGACCUUCGGGCCUCUCGCGUCAGGAUUAGCCCAGGUGGGAUUAGCUAGUUGGUGGGGUAACGGCUCACCAAGGCGACGAUCCCUAGCUGGUCUGAGAGGAUGAUCAGCCACACUGGAACUGAGACACGGUCCAGACUCCUACGGGAGGCAGCAGUGGGGAAUAUUGCACAAUGGGGGAAACCCUGAUGCAGCCAUGCCGCGUGUGUGAAGAAGGCCUUCGGGUUGUAAAGCACUUUCAGUCGUGAGGAAGGGGGUGCAGUUAAUAGCUGGAAUUUUUGACGUUAGCUGCAGAAGAAGCACCGGCUAACUCCGUGCCAGCAGCCGCGGUAAUACGGAGGGUGCGAGCGUUAAUCGGAAUUACUGGGCGUAAAGCGCAUGCAGGCGGUCUGUUAAGCAAGAUGUGAAAGCCCGGGGCUCAACCUCGGAACAGCAUUUUGAACUGGCAGACUAGAGUCUUGUAGAGGGGGGUAGAAUUUCAGGUGUAGCGGUGAAAUGCGUAGAGAUCUGAAGGAAUACCGGUGGCGAAGGCGGCCCCCUGGACAAAGACUGACGCUCAGAUGCGAAAGCGUGGGGAGCAAACAGGAUUAGAUACCCUGGUAGUCCACGCCGUAAACGAUGUCUACUUGGAGGUUGUGGCCUUGAGCCGUGGCUUUCGGAGCUAACGCGUUAAGUAGACCGCCUGGGGAGUACGGUCGCAAGAUUAAAACUCAAAUGAAUUGACGGGGGCCCGCACAAGCGGUGGAGCAUGUGGUUUAAUUCGAUGCAACGCGAAGAACCUUACCUACUCUUGACAUCCAGAGAACUUUCCAGAGAUGGAUUGGUGCCUUCG